rnacentral:rRNA from 1 species
AACGAACGCUGGCGGCGUGCCUAACACAUGCAAGUCGAACGAGAAAGGGGCUUCGGCUCCGAGUAAAGUGGCGCACGGGUGAGUAACACGUGGGUAACCUGCCUCUAAGAUUGGGAUAACUCGUCGAAAGAUGAGCUAAUACCGAAUAAGACCACAGUUCCCGCGGGAACAGGGGUCAAAGGUAGCCUCUGCUUGCAAGCUAUCACUUCGAGAUGGGCCUGCGCACCAUUAGCUAGUUGGUAGGGUAACGGCCUACCAAGGCAAAGAUGGUUAGCUGGUCUGAGAGGAUGAUCAGCCACACUGGAACGGAGACACGGUCCAGACUCCUACGGGAGGCAGCAGUGGGGAAUAUUGCGCAAUGGGCGAAAGCUUGACGCAGCAACGCCGCGUGAGUGAUGAAGGCCGUCGGGUCGUAAAGCUCUGUCGGGAGGAACGAAUGCUCCUGAGGUUAACAGCCUCGGGAGGUGACGGUACCUUCAAAGGAAGCACCGGCUAACUCUGUG